rnacentral:rRNA from 1 species
UACGGGGGGAGCAAGCGUUGUUCGGAUUUACUGGGCGUAAAGGGCGCGUAGGCGGCCACCGCAAGUCAGUUGUGAAAGCUCUGGGCUUAACCCAGAAAGGUCAACUGAUACUGCGGGGCUAGAGUGCAGAAGGGGCAACUGGAAUUCUCGGUGUAGCGGUGAAAUGCGUAGAUAUCGAGAGGAACACCUGCGGCGAAGGCGGUGCUGGGCUGACACUGACGCUGAAGUGCGAAAGCUAGGGAGCGAACGGG